AGGAAAACCCUUUACGGUUUUACCAAAAAACCAAAGUUAACUAUGGUUCAUAUAGUCUCUGGAGGUUUCUAUGUACCCGUCAGUUUUGUCUCCGAUUUUUUUUGUUUUUUUUCGCCUCUAAAUAACUCAAACGCAUUUUAUCAAUGAAAUUCUUCAGACGAAAAAA
rnacentral:sRNA from 1 species